UAGGGAAUCUUCCGCAAUGGACGCAAGUCUGACGGAGCAACGCCGCGUGAGCGAAGAAGGUCUUCGGAUCGUAAAGCUCUGUUGUAAGGGAAGAACAAGUACCAGAGUAACUGCUGGUACCUUGACGGUACCUUACCAGAAAGCCACGGCUAACUACGUGCCAGCAGCCGCGGUAAUACGUAGGUGGCAAGCGUUGUCCGGAAUUAUUGGGCGUAAAGCGCGCGCAGGCGGUCUCUUAAGUCUGAUGUGAAAGCCCCCGGCUCAACCGGGGAGGGUCAUUGGAAACUGGGGAACUUGAGUGCAGAAGAGAAGAGCGGAAUUCCACGUGUAGCGGUGAAAUGCGUAGAGAUGUGGAGGAACACCAGUGGCGAAGGCGGCUCUUUGGUCUGUAACUGACGCUGAGGCGCGAAAGCGUGGGGAGCAAACA
rnacentral:rRNA from 1 species